AGGAAGCGCCAGGGGCACAGCGGUAUGAGGCCUUCUAGCCACCCCCAAAGGUAGCCAAGGACUUCGGCUUUUCUUUUUUUAAGGUUUUAUUUAUUUUUUAAAGAGAGGGGACGGAGGGCGAAAGAGAGGGAGAGAA